AAGCCGACAGAAUGCUGACGCGGCAAAAUUACGAGGCAGAUCGAUAGCGUCUUGAAGCUGCAGCAUACAUCUCUAGUGGACAAACUGGGUCUGAGCAGCUAGCACAAAACUCGCCACAGGGCAGACAUAUGAACAUUUUUGUACAGGCGAACCACAACAACGGAGGUUGAUAUCUGUCGGAUAAAACUACAUAACUAGCACACUGCACAUAAAUGAAAGCUUUUAAACAGCAACGUACACCUUGAAAAUCCGCAUCAUCUGUCAAACAUUAGAAGAAAUAUGUCAACUAGCGUAUGACAUUAAAACGACUUCCGGAUAGCAGAAUUCUUUCGUGAAGCCCGGAUACAAAAUUGCAGGACAGUCGGUCGGUGAGUCCGCACAUGCGUAUAGGUCAUCCACGAGCUGCAGAAAUGCAUGCGUGACCUCUCCCCUAGCAAUCCCUCCCCCCUUUCCCCUUCCGCGCACGCAUACACCCAGCACCGCUGCGGUCCUACGCGCGUUUCCUACUAUUUCACUUACCGCCACUUCCUCCGGGUUCAUUUUGCGCAAUGGACACUGUCCCGUGUCGGCCGGGAAUUCAAAAUCGCUGACAUACGCAUGGAUUAGGGCAGCCGCAGAGCGCAAGCGAAAAGUGGAGCCAAAAGCUUGCCGGUAUGCGCGCUCAGGCCGGUAGGCUGGGCGACUUUCGCGCAUGAGUGACGCGCCACAGCUGUCAAGGUGACCCACGGGCCGGAGAGCAACUGUCAAACUGCCGUGUCUUCCACUCCGCUUAGUACAUGGGAGACUCCAAAUGAGACAGCGCCAUCCUCCGGGUGUAGCAUUAGAGUGUGCUAGUGACACAGCACAGCGUCCUGUGAAAUACGGCGCACCUGCACCACCUCUCCUCCCACCUCCAGUCGAAUCUGCUGUGACGGCAGAAAUUCCAGGACACGACUAAAAGCUUCUGAACACAGGAAAGCUCAUCGAGUCUGGAGCUGGGAGAAGAUUUUUUGGUAAAGCCACACUGGCAUGAGGAAGAGAAAUGAGGCGUGGUCAUGUGGAUUAACCAUCCCACUGGAUUGACAGGUUUAAGCCAUACCAAGCUGACAUUUCCUUUGCUUAAGUUUUCCUUUCUCUGCUUCACCUUUUAAAUAAAUGAACCAUUUUUGUA